rnacentral:rRNA from 1 species
UACGAAGGGGGCUAGCGUUGCUCGGAAUCACUGGGCGUAAAGGGUGCGUAGGCGGGUCUUUAAGUCAGGGGUGAAAUCCUGGAGCUCAACUCCAGAACUGCCUUUGAUACUGAGGAUCUUGAGUUCGGGAGAGGUGAGUGGAACUGCGAGUGUAGAGAUGAAAUUCGUAGAUAUUCGCAAGAACACCAGUGGCGAAGGCGGACUCACUGGCCCGAUACUGACGCUGAGGCACGGAAAGCGUGGG